rnacentral:rRNA from 1 species
UACAGAGGGUGCAAGCGUUAAUCGGAAUUACUGGGCGUAAAGCGCGCGUAGGUGGUUUGUUAAGUUGGAUGUGAAAGCCCCGGGCUCAACCUGGGAACUGCAUCCAAAACUGGCAAGCUGGAGUACGGUAGAGGGUGGUGGAAUUUCCUGUGUAGCGGUGAAAUGCGUAGAUAUAGGAAGGAACACCAGUGGCGAAGGCGACCACCUGGACUGAUACUGACACUGAGGUGCGAAAGCGUGGGGAGCAAACAGG